rnacentral:rRNA from 1 species
UACGUAGGGGGCGAGCGUUGUCCGGAUUUAUUGGGCGUAAAGAGCGUGUAGGCGGUUCGGUAAGUCUGUCGUGAAAUCCUGAGGCUCAACCUCGGGCGUGCGGUGGAUACUGCCGGGCUAGAGGGUGGUAGAGGCGAGUGGAAUUCCCGGUGUAGCGGUGAGAUGCGCAGAUAUCGGGAGGAACACCAGUAGCGAAGGCGGCUCGCUGGGACGUUACUGACGCUGAGACGCGAAAGCGUGGGGAGCAAACAGG